AUCAGAGCGCCACAGCUAAUAACUUAGAUGUUUUUCACAGUCGGUGGAGAGUUUCACACAAGGUAUGGUUUUAUUUUGACAUUGUAAUUCAAAGGUCCAGAUUUUUUGACUUAGCUGAGAACACAUGUAAAUAUGCAUUUUCUAGAUAUUUACAAACAAGAACUUUGGGAACGCCUCAAUUUUGUAGAAGCUGUUCAAAGAAGAGGUAUGCCCUUUUUAAUUAUGCAAAGUCACAAAAAAUAAUAAAUCUAGAAAUGGACAACAACCUGAUUGGUAGUUGCAGCAUCUUGUUGUAACUUUUUAGAUGUUUUUUUUUCUUUUUUUAAGAUUGUGUCUGGCUGAUUUGGCAGAGGAGAAAUUUAUGUUGCAGCUGUUACAAGACAACUUCUUUCACUGUACAAUACAUAUUUUUAAAGUACAUGUUGCUGGAUUUGUCCCUUUUCUGUUUUCUCAUUACUUCACAGUUGUACAACAAUCAUCAUGGAUUUAUUUUUAAAUGUGAAGUCUUGUUUUCUUUUCAUGCAUGUUGAGAUGACCUGAUUGGUUUUUAUCCCUGUUUUUAUCAGUUUGUAUUGAUUUAUGGAUAGAUAAAAAAAAGAAAAAAAAAAGCUUUUGUUCAACCUACAGAGACAAAUUUUGGUAUAUUAUUUGAUGUGUACAAUAACUUGUGACAUUAUCAACAAAACUAUUAUACUAUUUUACUAAUGUGUCAAUCAAAUAUGUAAUGGUCAUGUAAGUUCUUUUUUUUUUCUGCAGUUUCUUAGCAGGGCUAAAGCUGAGGUUGCUCCCUGGUGUGUAUCAGAUUUUUAAAGCUUUGGAUUUGUUCAUUUGGGGAAUCAGUUUUUCACAAAGCAGUCAUUGGCUAAUCUCUGAAGUUGUGCAAUACUAAUAUUUCACCGCUUCUUCAGCUACGGUUUUAUUUAUUUUUUUGAAGCAGAGGAGAUUGAGCCAAAGACAUUUUAAAGGGAUUUUAUUUUCAACUUUUCUUUAUUGCUGGUUUGCUUUUAAUGCUUCACUUUUUGCCCUGUCAAGAAUCGUUCCAAAAAGGAAAAAAAUCUCCAUGUUUGUUAGUAAACUGAGGGUCUUUACACGAUUUUAAAGAUUUUAACUUCCCAACCUUGACCUGUAUAUGAAUUUAAUAUGUUCCCGGAAGCCUUCUGUCUUGCCUUUAAAGAAAAGCGGUGAAACCAACUCGUGUGUGGCGCAUGGAAAGGGAGCAACCUUUUGCCCAGCUAGCAGAGAGCACUGUGUUCAGCCUUCUAUAAACGCCAUCUUUUCCUGUUAUCUGUUGGCUCUCCUCUGUUUUUCCCUUUGCUGCAGUAAAUCAAUGGCACACCUGUUCCCCCAGCUUCCCAGUCCCAUCGGUUUCUCCCUCGUGGGUACAAAAAUAAUGAAUAGAUCUGUUUUACUCUUCUUCAUUUCAGUUGGUGGUGGUUAUAAUAAAGGAUUUAGACUGUGUUUUAAAGGUUUAUUUUCUUUUUUAUUUGUUUCUCUAUUAAAGUGUUUUUAUUGAAACCGCU
ensembl:lncRNA